CCUACGGGAGGCAGCAGUGGGGAAUUUUCCGCAAUGGGCGAAAGCCUGACGGAGCAAUGCCGCGUGAAUGAAGAAGGUCUUCGGAUCGUAAAGUUCUGUCAUUAGGGAAGAAAGGUACGUGUGUUAAUAAUGCGCGUAUUUGACGGUACCUAAGGAGGAAGCCACGGCUAACUACGUGC
rnacentral:rRNA from 1 species